AACUUUCAACAACGGAUCUCUUGGCUCUCGCAUCGAUGAAGAACGCAGCGAAAUGCGAUAAGUCAAUGUGAAUUGCAGAAUUCAGUGAAUCAUCGAAUCUUUGAACGCACCUUGCGCUCGCCGGUAUUCCGGCGAGCAUGCCUGUUUGAGUCUCA
rnacentral:rRNA from 1 species